AUUGAACGCUGGCGGCAGGCCUAACACAUGCAAGUCGAGCGGAUGAAGGGAGCUUGCUCCUGGAUUCAGCGGCGGACGGGUGAGUAAUGCCUAGGAAUCUGCCUGGUAGUGGGGGAUAACGUCCGGAAACGGGCGCCAAUACCGCAUACGUCCUGAGGGAGAAAGUGGGGGAUCUUCGGACCUCACGCUAUCAGAUGAGCCUAGGUCGGAUUAGCUAGUUGGUGGGGUAAAGGCCUACCAAGGCGACGAUCCGUAACUGGUCUGAGAGGAUGAUCAGUCACACUGGAACUGAGACACGGUCCAGACUCCUACGGGAGGCAGCAGUGGGGAAUAUUGGACAAUGGGCGAAAGCCUGAUCCAGCCAUGCCGCGUGUGUGAAGAAGGUCUUCGGAUUGUAAAGCACUUUAAGUUGGGAGGAAGGGCAGUAAGUUAAUACCUUGCUGUUUUGACGUUACCAACAAAAUAAGCACCGGCUAACUUCGUG
rnacentral:rRNA from 1 species